rnacentral:rRNA from 1 species
AUCAGAACUUAGGCUUGGAAGCAGCCAUCGUGUUUGGAAAGCGUAACAGCUCACUGGUUUAGCAGUACUUUGCUUAUACAUGUCCGGUAGGAUAAUUGCCGAAGCUCACCUACAACACAAUCAC